rnacentral:rRNA from 1 species
GACGAACGCUGGCGGCGUGCCUAAUACAUGCAGGUAGAACGCUGAAGGAGGAGCUUGCUUCUCUGGAUGAGUUGCGAACGGGUGAGUAACGCGUAGGUAACCUGCCUGGUAGCGGGGGAUAACUAUUGGAAACGAUAGCUAAUACCGCAUAAUAUUGACUAUUGCAUGAUAGUCAGUUGAAAGGUGCAACUGCACCACUACCAGAUGGACCUGCGUUGUAUUAGCUAGUUGGUGGGGUAACGGCUCACCAAGGCGACGAUACAUAGCCGACCUGAGAGGGUGGUCGGCCACACAGGGACGGAUACACGGCGCAGACUCCUCCGGGCGGCAGCAGCAGGGAAAGUGCGGCAAGUGACGGAAGUAUGAACGAGCAACGCCGGGGGAGUGAAGAAGGUUCUCGGAUCGUAAAGCUCUGUUGUAAGAGAAGAACGAGUGGGAGAGUGGAAAGCUCACACUGUGACGGUAGCUUACCAGAAAGGGACGGCUAACUACGUG